rnacentral:rRNA from 1 species
GAUGAACGCUAGCGGCAGGCCUAAUACAUGCAAGUCGAACGGUAAGUUGAGUAGCAAUACUUGACCUAGAGUGACGUAAGGGUGCGUAACACGUAUGCAAUCUGCCCUCAACUGGAGGAUAGCUCCCCGAAAGGGGAAUUAACACUCCGUAAUAUAUCUGGGAGGCAUCUUUUGGAUAUUAAAACUCCGGUGGUUGAGGAUGAGCAUGCGUCUGAUUAGCUAGUUGGUAGUGUAAUGGACUACCAAGGCGAUGAUCAGUAGGGGAACUGAGAGGUUGAUCCCCCACACUGGCACUGAGAUACGGGCCAGACUCCUACGGGAGGCAGCAGUAGGGAAUAUUGGACAAUGGGUGCAAGCCUGAUCCAGCCAUGCCGCGUGCAGGAAGAAGGCCUUCUGGGUUGUAAACUGCUUUUGCCAGGGGAUAAAAAGCCCAUGCGUGGGAAAUUGAAGGUACCUGGUGAAUAAGCCACGGCUAACUACGUGCCAGCAGCCGCGGUAAUACGUAGGUGGCAAGCGUUGUCCGGAUUUAUUGGGUUUAAAGGGUGCGUAGGCGGCCCUGUAAGUCAGUGCUGAAAUAUCCCGGCUUAACCGGGAGGGUGGCAUUGAUACUGCGGGGCUUGAGUAAAGUUGAGGUUGGCGGAAUUGACGGUGUAGCGGUGAAAUGCUUAGAUAUCGUCAAGAACACCUAUUGCGUAGGCAGCUAACUAAGCUUUAACUGACGCUGAGGCACGAAAGUGUGGGGAUCAAACAGGAUUAGAUACCCUGGUAGUCCACACUGUAAACGAUGAUUACUCGCUGCUAGAGGGUAA